ACGUUAGCGGCGGACGGGUGAGUAACACGUGGGUAACCUACCUAUAAGACUGGGAUAACUUCGGGAAACCGGAGCUAAUACCGGAUAAUAUUUCGAACCGCAUGGUUCGAUAGUGAAAGGUGGUUUUGCUAUCACUUAUAGAUGGACCCGCGCCGUAUUAGCUAGUUGGUAAGGUAACGGCUUACCAAGGCGACGAUACGUAGCCGACCUGAGAGAGUGAUCGGCCACACUGGAACUGAGACACGGUCCAGACUCCUACGGGAGGCAGCAGGG
rnacentral:rRNA from 1 species